rnacentral:rRNA from 1 species
GCUAAUGGCGGGACCGGGGCGGCGGUAAGACGAAGGGUGCAAUCGUUAAUCGGGAUUACUGGGCGUAAAGCGUGCGUAGGCGGGUGUUUAAGUCGGCUGUGAAAUCCCCGGGCUCAACCUGGGAAUGGCAGUGGAUACUGGAGAGCUAGAGUGUGAUAGAGGAUGGUGGAAUUCCCGGUGUAGCGGUGAAAUGCGUAGAGAUCGGGAGGAACAUCAGUGGCGAAGGCGGCCAUCUGGAUCAACACUGACGCUGAGGCACGAAAGCGUGGGGAGCAAACAGGAUUAGAUACCCGUGUAGUC